rnacentral:rRNA from 1 species
AAUUUAGGACAAUGGGCGCAAGCCUGAUCCAGCCAUGCCGCGUUAGUGAAGAAGGUCUACGGGUUGUAAAGCUCUCUCGGUCGGGAAGAAAUCGCGCUGGCUAAUACCCUGCGUGGUACACGGUACCCUCAUUAGAAGCAUCGGCUAACUACGUGCCAGCAGCCGUGGUAAUACGAAGGGUGCGAGCGUUAAUCGGAAUUACUGGGCGUAAAGCGUGAGCAGGCGGUUGAUUAAGACAGGCGUGAAAUCCCCGGGCUUAACCUGGGAACUGCGCUUGUGACUGGUCAGCUAGAGUACGGCAGAGGGGGGUGGAAUUCCACGUGUAGCAGUGAAAUGCGUAGAGAUGUGGAGGAACACCGAUGGCGAAGGCAGCCCCCUGGGCCGAUACUGACGCUCAUGCACGAAAGCGUGGGUAGCAAACAGG